AGAGUUUGAUCCUGGCUCAGGACGAACGCUGGCGGCGUGCCUAAUACAUGCAAGUCGAACGAACUCUGGUAUUGAUUGGUGCUUGCAUCAUGAUUUACAUUUGAGUGAGUGGCGAACUGGUGAGUAACACGUGGGAAACCUGCCCAGAAGCGGGGGAUAACACCUGGAAACAGAUGCUAAUACCGCAUAACAACUUGGACCGCAUGGUCCGAGUUUGAAAGAUGGCUUCGGCUAUCACUUUUGGAUGGUCCCGCGGCGUAUUAGCUAGAUGGUGGGGUAACGGCUCACCAUGGCAAUGAUACGUAGCCGACCUGAGAGGGUAAUCGGCCACAUUGGGACUGAGACACGGCCCAAACUCCUACGGGAGGCAGCAGUAGGGAAUCUUCCACAAUGGACGAAAGUCUGAUGGAGCAACGCCGCGUGAGUGAAGAAGGGUUUCGGCUCGUAAAACUCUGUUGUUAAAGAAGAACAUAUCUGAGAGUAACUGUUCAGGUAUUGACGGUAUUUAACCAGAAAGCCACGGCUAACUACGUGCCAGCAGCCGCGGUAAUAA
rnacentral:rRNA from 2 species